UACGUAGGGGGCAAGCGUUGUCCGGAUUUAUUGGGCGUAAAGAGCGUGUAGGCGGUUUGGUAGGUCCGCUGUGAAAACUCGAGCUCAACCUCGAGACGCCGGUGGAAACCAUCAGACUAGAGUCCGGAAGAGGAGAGUGGAAUUCCUGGUGUAGCGGUGAAAUGCGCAGAUAUCAGGAGGAACACCGGUGGCGAAGGCGGUUCUCUGGGCCUGUACUGACGCUGAGGAGCGAAAGCGUGGGGAGCGAACAGG
rnacentral:rRNA from 1 species